AUGCAAGUCGAACGCGAAAGUUCCCUUCGGGGAGCGAGUAGAGUGGCGCACGGGUGAGUAACACGUAGGUAAUCUACCUUUGGAUUGGGAAUAACAACCGGAAACGGUUGCUAAUACCGAAUAAUGCAGCGGCACCUAAUGGUGACAGUUGUUAAAGCGGGGGAUCGCAAGACCUCGCGUCUAAAGAGGAGCCUGCGGCGGAUUAGCUAGUUGGUAAGGUAAUGGCUUACCAAGGCGAUGAUCCGUAGCCGGCCUGAGAGGGCGGUCGGCCACACUGACACUGACAUACGGGUCAGACUCCUACGGGAGGCAGCAGUCGGGAAUUUUGGGCAAUGGGCGAAAGCCUGACCCAGCAACGCCGCGUGAAGGAUGAAAUCCCUCGGGAUGUAAACUUCGCAAGAACGGGAAGAAUAAGUGAGGGUUAAUAUCCCUUACGAUGACGGUACUGUUUGUAAGCUCCGGCUAACUCCGUGCCAGCAGCCGCGGUAAUACGGGGGGAGCAAGCGUUGUUCGGAUUUACUGGGCGUAAAGGGCGCGUAGGCGGCCACUGCAAGUCAGUUGUGAAAUCUCCGGGCUUAACCCGGAAAGGUCAACUGAUACUGCAGGGCUAGAGUGCAGAAGG
rnacentral:rRNA from 1 species